rnacentral:misc_RNA from 1 species
GAUGAAGAACGCAGCGAAAUGCGAUAAGUAAUGUGAAUUGCAGAAUUCAGUGUAUCAUCGAAUCUUUGAACGCACAUUGCGCCCGCCAGUAUUCUGGCGGGCAUGCCUGUUCGAGCGUCAUUUCAACCAUCAAGCCCCAGGCUUGUGUUGGGGACCUGCGGCUGCCGCAGGCCCUGAAAACCAGUGGCGGGCUCGCUGUCACACCGGGCGUAGUAGAUUUUAUCUCGCUCAGGGCGUGCUGCGGGUUCCGGCCGUUAAAAAGCCUUUUUUACCCAAGGUUGACCUCGGAUCAGGUAGGAAGACCCGCUGAACUUAAGCAUAUCAAUAAGCGGAGGA